rnacentral:tRNA from 2 species
GGGGGUGUAGCUCAGUGGUAGAGCGUUCGCUUCGCAUGUGAAAGGUCCCGGGUUCGAACCCCGGCACCUCCA